UUAAUCUGCAAUUGUUGUUUCAAAUGUGCAAAAGGUGUUUUAAUUGUGCAAAAGGUGAUUUAAUUGUGCAAAAGUUGUUUUAAACGUGCAAAAGGUGUUUUAAAUGUGCAAAAGGUGUUUUAAAUGUCCCAAAAGGUGUUUUAAAUAAUCAAAAGGUGUUUGAAAUAUGCAAAAGGUUUGUUUAAAUGUGUGUGUGAAAAUGAAAGUGAAAGAGGAAAGGUAAAGGAAGUUAAAUGUGUGUGAAAGUGAAAGAAGAAGCGCCAGUGAAGCAGCAGCAUUGUAGUAUGCUUUAGCCAGGAGAGCGUGCGACGAUGUUCCGUAUGUUUUGCAGACAGACACACACAGAGAGUGAAAGAGGGAUUCAUGUCUGCUUGGAGCUGUAGUUUAAGAACCUGAUCUACGCAGCACACGGUACGGAUAAGAAUCAAAUCGGAUUUUGCAAAAAAGGCGAACAACCGUGUACGACAACCGUCUGAAAGUGUCAGCCCGGAACCAGUCCAAAAACGGGGUGAGUAUGUGUCUGUGUGUGUGUGUAUUUUGUUUUCCGUGGAAGCCGUUACUUGGGGGAGGAAAAACCUGUGGAAAACAUCAAACGAUUUUGAAGGAAGACCGUGCCAGGGGGGUGGGGGUUGGGUUAUCAAUCCUCGCGGGAUGAAAAUCCUCUUAGGCAAGGUGUUAGGAUCGACACCAGACCAUUUUCCCUGGUGGCGUUUCCGCGCCGCUGCAAAUCAGAAUCCUGAAUACAUCUCGCAUCAGGCGUGUGUCAACGCUGGUGACAGCUUUAUUGACCGGGGCAAUGUCGAAAAGCGACCACUUUCGGGUGUUCGGUGUGAAGGUGGAAUAGAGAGAAUGGAUGGGUAAUAAGAGGAACACGGGCUGUUUGUGUCACCGUCCACAUCCUUCCACAGUUGCAGUAUCGGGUUACAUAAUGCGAAUCGGAUGGACGAACAAAAUGAGCGAUUUAUCAUCCGGCCGAGGCAAACACAAAAAAAACCCCAAACUUUUGCGUGAUGAGCUUCAUUUUGUUUUUGAUGUAAGAAUAAUUCUCUUCAACCUUUUUAUUGGUCCAAUUUAAAUGUUGGACUCUUAAAGCAAGAGAAAAAAAAACUCCGCUUUUGCCUUAUUUGCGUGAAACUAAAUCUGCCCAGAAGUGUCCAGAAGUGUAAAUGGCAGCUUACUUUUACUCCCCUGACAGCUUAAUGCAUCCAUGCUCUACCCUGAGGCUGGUGUAAUCGGAUACUUUACACGACACCACGCCACAACAGAUUGCAAUUAUUUAUUCUUGAUCGCUCAAUCAAAUGCUCGUUUUCGGUGGUAAGCAGUACGUUUUUUUACCAUUUUUAUUUAUUUAUUAUUAUUUAUAUUCGGGAAAAUGAAAAAGUUCUUUAAAAUGUGCGUUAAGAUUGCCGCAAUGACCAGUGUCUACCGAAACGUCACUAAGGACAUUUAAAACAGUACCAACAGAGCAAUGAACACUUUGCACCAUUUCUGGUUGUACUUUCCUUUCCGGGGGAAAAAAGAGAAUAUUCAUGCUAAUGUGCUUCUGAGCAUGACCGUCAGCAGAGUUUUCUUUUCCUGUGUGUUUUUUCUGUUUUUGAAUCUCCGUGCUUUGGAAAAUCACCUGCAGUUCUCUGUCAUGGAUUCUGGUUUGAGGGCAAGAUUUUUUGAAACCAUCGACCAUCAUCAAGACACGCGCGCUGGACACAAGAGCUCGCUCGAGAAGUAGAAGGCAGCGAAUGGAAGGAAGCAAGAACCACUCACACCGUUCCGUUGGGUGAAGGAAAAUCUUAAGAGCCAGUUCUUAUUGGAUCCUUGUUUCUUCAGAGUUUCCUUUCGACGCCGGUGAAAACUUGCCUCGCCCUUCCCGCGCUAGUGACGAGGUGGCGUCUUAAAGAAGCACAGCGUUUCUCCCAGGGUUUUGAAGAAACAAGGCAUGGGUCAGGAGCUUGUCUUGCAAGAUAUCGAUUGAGUGUCAGUGUGUUGGAUCGGUUGGGGGGGGCCUGGAGAAGGAAAGUGUGUGGAGUUGAAGCAGUGAGGAAAGAAUGAAACGAAGUAAACGCCACUGGGUGAAGAAAGGCGAAAAGGGAAAAAGGGGGAGUGGGAGGGGGUGCCACAAUGCCGCGGGACAACAAUCCAGCACCACGAUCCACGUAAGAGGACAAAACCUUGUACACACGAAGUAAAACAAACUAUGAUGAAAAUGUUUAGUAUUCAAGCGACGUCCCGCAGAAUAUUGAUUGGCAGUAGGGAGAAAGCGAACGUUCCGUACGUGUGGGUAUACAAGAUACUGGGGGAUAUUUUUUUUUUGCUUCUGCUGCCCUUCUCUCCUGGCAGCUGUCCCUACCCAGGCUUCCCGGUUUCGGGUUGCUUUCGUUCCUUUCCUUUGCUGGAACGGUACGAUACGGACGCUGGCUCAAGUGGACUUGUGGAGGCAUCUUCGUGUCCGCCUUUUUCGGUUUGAUUCAGCCUUUGCUCCCAAAAGGUAAGAAGAAACACAUUGGGCCAAAUGUAAGCGAAACGCAACUCAGCUGUGAUAUGUUAAAGAGCUUAAAUAUUCUAUACCUUUACUAAAAUAACGUAAAGUGUAAGUAAAAACAAUUUAGUGCAAUAAUUAAAUGUGUAUUGAAAGGAAGUUACGCGCGACUGCGACAAUACUCACGAUCCGCACAAUAUACUCACGACUUCUGACAUUAGAUGAUGGCCGGAAGAAGCAAAAAAAACGAUGUCACAAAGACUGCUAACAACUCUGCCCCUAGUGUGGCCCAUGAUUGAGCACAAGCAACGGUGAAGCUUCUUAAGGGGAAGUGGGGGGACAGGAUGGGGUUAGAAUGGCGCCUCGAAGACACAAGAAUGCGGCACGAAAAUGGGAAAAGUAUUAACGGAACCCCGAUGGAGAACCCUCUGCUGCCUGCUGGGCUGCUUCAGCAUGCUUGAGAUACUAAGAAAAGAAAAGCGAGAAAUAGCACAAAGCGAGCAAAUGAAAGAAGCGAAAACCGAAAAGUUCACGGAAUGGCGUAAAAC